ACAUAUUUAACAGAGAUUACCCAUUUUCUUAACCCAUUUAAUAAUUAUACCCGGAAUAUAACCAGUUUCAUAUCCAGGUCUGCAACCUACAUUCUUCUAUCACAUUCAAUACCGGCAAAUCAGUUUCUCUUAAACAUAGAAAGAACGGGCAAUCAGGGUCGUUCUUUCAGAUUUCAAACUUACUAUCAGUAUUAUCUCGAUUUCAAGAUCUUUUCAGCUAUUAGGGUUUAUAUUUUGGUGCGUUUCGUCGCUUUCGCUUUCAGCCGCUUCAUAUCUCCUCUCUGUCUAAAUCAGAUGUAAGCUUUUUCAUCAUUAAUCUGUGUGCAUAUGUGCGUGUAUAUACGAUGAUGAAUGUGUAUUAAUGUAUAUUCUCCUUUAUACUUUAUACUCUGUUUUGCGUUUGUGUCGGUUCC
rnacentral:lncRNA from 1 species